AUUGAACGCUGGCGGCAGGCCUAACACAUGCAAGUCGAGCGGAGCUGCGGACGGGUGGGUAAUGCCUAGGAAUCUGCCUGGUAGUGGGGGAUAGCGUCCGGAAACGGGCGCUAAUACCACAUACUAUCAGAUGAGCCUAGGUCGGAUUGGCUAGUUGGGGAGGUAAGGGCCUACAAAGACGACGAUCCGUAACUGGGCUGAGAGGAGGAUCAGUCACACUGGAACUGAGACACGGUCCAGACUCCUACGGGAGGCAGCAGUGGGGAAUAUUGGACAAUGGGCGAAAGCCUGAUCCAGCCAUGCCGCGUGUGUGAAGAAGGUCUUCGGAUUGUAAAGCACUUUAAGUUGGGAAGCGUUACCAACAGAAUAAGCACCGGCUAACUUCGUGCCAGCAGCCGCGGUAAUUC
rnacentral:rRNA from 1 species